GGAGGGGGAGAUAGGAAACCAGUCUUUGGGGAGACUUAUCCAUAGUGGCUCCCGUGGGGAAUCUCCGGAGCCUUGGCUUCUCCCUCCCACCCAGGAAUCGGCCACCCCUUCAAGGCAGCCAGAGGGAUCCCUGGAAAGUGGGGGGUCGUGUCCCCCCACCCCUUCCUUCCUGCAACCUCUAUCCUCUUUACACCCCAUAAGCCGCUGACCUGUCCAGACUGUUGCAGGAAUCUAUGUAUAGGUUGGGGGUGGUUGACCCUCCAGCAGAUAUCAUGCACAUGCAGCCCACCACCAAAAUCAGCACCAUCACUUUUGUGAUUUCUUCCCAGAAAACACUUCAUCAAAGUUUAUUCCUAUCUAUUCAAAGGGCCUUUGCUGCACAAUACCAAAUGUAAGAAGUCACUGAUAAAUGUCUCUAUGUACUGGCUCGCUGGGGAAACUUCAGAAAUUCAUAUGGACAUGUGAGCUCAGCUACUCAGCAGCCCCUCUGCCUGAGGGAUAAUCCCUGGCAUCCUGAUACCUGAGUGCCGAACAGGUAGCCAUUCCAGAAAGAACCAACCCAGAUGAAGACAAAAGGGUGGGAUUAACUUGGCUGGGAAACAGGUCAGGGAGGACAAUGGGUGGCCGGCCGGGGGCAGAUCAAAGGCCAAAGAAAAGAGGCCGACCCCUUUGUCCAAGCCCCUUUUGGUUUUCUUCCUUCCAGGAUCAGGAUCCUCAGGAGCGUGUCCUGGCGGCCGGAUUAAGGCAGUGUCAGACUGACAGACAAGCUGAGAUACAAUCCAUCAAAAUUCAAUGACAGCGGCUGCGUGAAUCUUCCCAGUCAAAGGACCCAUUUUCAUGAUAGACAGCCCCCGUGGCUGGAGGCUCAACCCCCAGGGUGUGCCUAUACAGGCCAAAGACUGCCAGCAUUAGCACAGGUGAGGUGUGUGACCCCCCCCCCCAAUCGACAGGUUGUGUGUCAAUGAGAGUUUGUGGGUGGGAUUAUCGUUUACGACAACUCUGUUGCUCCCACAAGGGAGCACCCAGGGGUCAGAACACUCCUCUCCCAAGACCACUUUCUGAACAAGGCCCAGGAGGAAGGAGGGGAACCACUGCAGAGCAGGGUCCCCAGCUCCCCUAGAGGGUCCAGAAGGAUACCAUGGCCAAAGGUCUCCAAAGCCACUGAGAGAUCCAGCAGAACCAGGAAACAGUUUUCCCCUUGGACUCUAGCACAUCGGAGAUCAUCAUCCAGCGCAACCAGGGCAAUUUCAGUCCCAUGAUGAGGCCUGAAUCCCCAUUGGAAGGAUAAUGGUGGAAGAAGCUUUCCUGCUGUUCCAGGUACCCCCCUCCCCAGUCAUUUCAGUUUGUACUUACACGACACACACAACAUAGACGACGUUUUUCUUAUAAAUUUAUAGUAAAUCAACUGUACAUCAGAUUUACCGUAUUUCCCCCUCUAUAACACACAGAUUUUUUCUCCUAAAAAAGUAAGGGGAAAUGUCCAUGCGUGUUAUUGAGCGAAUGUGUGGUCCCUGGAGCCGACUGGCCCGAGUGCAUCACACAUUUUCUUCGAGGGUCGUCUUCGUUGUGGUCAGCAGAAGCCAGGGAAGUGCUUGCUAGGAGGUUUGGCCACUCUGCAGCGCGACUGUGUGUUUGCUAGUGUGUGUGCUUUGUGAGUGUGUGGUUGCCUGUGUUUGUUCGCUAGCGUGGGUGCUUGGAGGGAGUGAGAGAGUGACGGACUGCUGCAUCUUCUCCUGCAAUUUGCCUUUUAAAAAAUUGGCAGCAGCGGGGCAGUAAAAACCACCUCCGAAAGCCCCAUUUUCUUUUCUUUUUUUAAUUAAAUUUUUAUUGAAGUUUUAACAUAUCAACACAACACAAUAACAACACAAUAACAAAAAGAAAAAAGAAAAAGAAAAAUGACAGACUAAGAAAUACAAGAAAUAAAACACGUAUAACUUCAAUUUUUACUUUCUUUUAGCUUGCUUUCACGACUUCCCUCAUACCUUCCCUUUCUGUAUUCUAAUUUCUAAUUCAAUUGUCAGCAAAUCCUUCCCCUACUUUUAAAUUAGUUUUAAUAACAAUUAUUUUCUUCAGAUUAUCCCUUGCCGCUUUUAACCCCUUAAUUUCCAAUCCAGCAUUUUUCUAACCUUCAUUAAUUUUACAAUAUUUCUUUAAAUACUCUUUAAAUUUUUUCCAAUCUUCCUGCGCCGUAUCUCUUCCCUGGUCACGGAUUCUGCUCGUCAUUUCCGCCAGUCCCAUGUAGUCUAUCACCUUCAGUUGCCAUUCUUCCACGGUGGGUAGUUCUUGCGUCUUCCAGUACUUUGCGAUGAGUAUUCUUGCUGCUGUUGUGGCAUACAUAAAAAAUGUUCUAUCCUUCUUUGACACCAAUUGGCCAACUAUGCCCAGGAGGAAGGCCGAAAGCCCCAUUUUCCCCUCCUAAGGCUGCAGCUCGGCUUUGGGAGCCCUGAACCCCUGCCUUGUUCUUGAGGGAUCUUUGAGGUUUUCCCUUUAGCUUUAACCCAGCCCCUUAUUUUACCAGUUUAUCUUCAUUCUCGGUGCGGUAAA
rnacentral:lncRNA from 1 species